rnacentral:ncRNA from 1 species
UUUGAAGUUUGAUUUUGGUUUUAGUUGUAUUAAGAUAGUAUUACUUAUUUAUAGUUUAUUUGGUGUGGAAUUUUUUAUUCACUGGUAGUUUUUUGGUUGUUUUAUUAGUGUUCCAGAAUAAUCGGCUAUACAUUUUAAUUUUUAACUCUAAUUGCUGUAAUGUUUUCUUGUUUUUUUUUGGUUUUUACUUUUAUUCAUUUGUAAAAUAUUUUGAUUUUGUCUUUUUUGAGAAAAUUUUAAAAAUUUGAUUUAUUGAACUGGAUUAGUACCCAGGUAAUCAAAAUUAAUUAAUUCGGGAGUAAAGUUUUGUUUAAACCGAAAAAAUAUUGACUGACUCUGGAUUUCUUUUUGGAACAUGUGUAUGGAGAGCCCUCUUUUAUAGUGAAUUUUUUUUUGCGCAUGUAUGAUUGUUUAGUUUUUAUUUUAUCUUGUAAUGCUUUUUUCUAAUUUAAAACAGAUAUAUAUUUGGCUUAUGGGUUCAUUAAUCAUGUGUUACUAUUAAUAAUUUUUUUUGGAUAGUAUUUUUAUUUUUUAUUUGAAAUCGGAAAAAAAAGUAAUUGUCUUUUUAUGUGUUGGUGAAUUUAAUAAAUGGAGUGGUACAAACCAUCCGUCAAUGGCCUAAAGGGGCGUAAGUUGUAGUAUGGUAGAGGUAAGGAAACUUGUUUCUAUUUUU